UUGAUCCUGGCUCAGGAUGAACGCUAGCGGCGCGCUUAACGCAUGCAAGUCGAGCGAUGAGGCUCCCUUCGGGGAGUACAUCAGCGGCAGACGGGUGAGUAACACGUAGAUAACCUGCCCUCAAGACGGGGACAACCGGUGGAAACAGCGGCUAAUACCCGAUAUGCUCACAGGAUCGGGAGAUCGAGUGAGGAAAGGCUUUGGUGCUUGAGGAGGGAUCUGCGGCCCAUCAGCUAGUUGGUGAGGUAACGGCUCACCAAGGCGAAGACGGGUAGGGGGUGUGAGAGCAUGGCCCCCCACAAUGGGACUGAGACACGGCCCAUACUCCUACGGGAGGCAGCAGCGGGGAAUAUUGCGCAAUGGACGGAAGUCAGACGCAGCGACGCCGCGUGGGUGAGGAAGGCCUUCGGGUUGUAAAGCCCUUUUCAGGGGAGCGAGAAAGGACGGUACCCUUGGAAUAAGCGUCGGCUAACUACGUGCCAGCAGCCGCGGUAAGACGUAGGACGCAAGCGUUAUCCGGAUUUACUGGGCGUAAAGCGCCUGUAGGCGGUCAAGUAAGUCGGAUGUGAAAGCCCCGCUGCUCAACGCGGGUGAAGCCAUUCGANUACUGCNGCUGACUAGAGAACGG
rnacentral:rRNA from 1 species